UAUAAGUAAGACUGAAUCAUCAUAUAUAAGUAAUACAAUCAUUCAACACAACCAAAAAAUAAAACACAAUAAUAAUAUUUUUGUCAUUUCCACAUGCUAUCAAAUGUAAAGUUUUCAAAAUAUGUCUAAAUUCUUAAACUUGAUUCAAUACAUCGCCAAUGACCUGCCAAAAUAUUUCUUGUCACCACCUCUUAUAAAUCUGCAAAUAAAAAAAAAUAAAAUUAGUUUUUCAACAUUCGUUGAUCCUUGAAUGGAUAAUGCAAACAAUAUAAGAAUAAAGAGGCCAAGUACAUAGAUAAC
rnacentral:lncRNA from 1 species